GACGGAGGAUGCAAGUGUUAUCCGGAAUCACUGGGCGUAAAGCGUCUGUAGGUGGUCAAAUAAGUCAACUGUUAAAUCUUGAGGCCCAACCUCAAAACCGCAGUCGAAACUAUUAGACUAGAGUAUAGUAGGGGUAAAGGGAAUUUCCAGUGGAGCGGUGAAAUGCGUAGAGAUUGGAAAGAACACCGAUGGCGAAGGCACUUUACUGGGCUAUUACUAACACUCAGAGACGAAAGCUAGGGUAGCAAAUGGG
rnacentral:rRNA from 1 species